rnacentral:rRNA from 1 species
ACGUAGGGGGCAAGCGUUAUCCGGAAUUAUUGGGCGUAAAGAGCACGUAGGCGGUUUGUCACGUCAGACGUGAAAGUUCGCAGCUCAACUCCAUAUCUGCGUUUGAAACGGGGAGACUAGAGUCUCGGAGAGGUAAGUGGAAUUCCUGGUGUAGCGGUGGAAUGCGCAGAGAUGAGGAGGAACACCGAUGGCGAAGGCAGCUUUCUGGACGAUAACUGACGCUCAGGUGCGAAAGCGUGGGGAGCAAACAG